UUGUAAAAAAUUUAUCCAUUUCUAUUAUUAAAAUUAUUGUGAUUAACAGAAUAACUAAAUAAUUACAUGUGGUGUGUCACACGUACCUGAUUUUGACGUACAUGAAUCAAUUUUUAAUAGUAGAAAUACGUGAAAUUUUUAAUA
rfam:Gossypium raimondii Chr06_contig_770, whole genome shotgun sequence.